rnacentral:rRNA from 1 species
AUACGGAUGGUGCGAGCGUUGUUCGGAAUUACUGGGCGUAAAGGGCGCGUAGGCGGCGAUGUAAGUCAAAUGUGAAAGUCCUCGGCUUAACCGGGGAAGUGCAUCUGAAACUGCAUUGCUUGAGUAUGGGAGAGGAAAGUGGAAUUCCCGGUGUAGAGGUGAAAUUCGUAGAGAUCGGGAGGAAUACCGGUGGCGAAGGCGACUUUCUGGACCAAUACUGACGCUGAGGCGCGAAAGCGUGGGGAGCAAACAGGAUUAGAUACCCGAGUAGUCC